UACGCCAGUAUGGCCUUCAGAGACGCAUGCUCUUGUAUAUAGUUUUACUGAGGUUUUAAAACCCCUUCAAAAGCUUUAGACUAAUAUUGACUUAAGGUAGAUUCUCGUCUGAAGACAAUAUGAAGAAAGCUGCUAUAGCUAAAUGCUCUGUAAAGUUUGACGGUGUGACUGAUAAUAUCACACAUUUCUGAAUGCUUUCCUAAGCCUCUACAAACUACAGAAUCUGUGCAGAUCAGUAGCGUUAGGGAAACUCCUGAGUACUGAUGUACUCUUCAGAGGCACUCAUUAACAUGCUCCAAACCUAUAACCCAACCUAGGCUCAGGCACAACAUGAAACACAACAUGUUUACAAUAUGAGUACAUGGGCAUCAAGGUGGGGUUCUCACUGCAGUGUUUCUAUAGGUUGUGUUCAGUGUUUCUAUAGGUUGUGUUUCUAUAGGUUGUGUUUCUAUAGGUUGUGUUCAGUGUUUCUAAAGGUUGUGUUCAGUGUUUCUAUAGGUUGUGUUUCUAUAGGUUGUGUUCAGUGUUUCUAUAGGUGGUGUUUCUAUAGGUUGUGUUUCUAUAGGUUGUGUUCAGUGUUUCUAUAGGUUGUGUUCAGUGUUUCUAUAGGUUGUGUUCAGUGUUUCUAUAGGUUGUGUUUCUAUAGGUUGUGUUCAGUGUUUCUAUAGGUGGUGUUCAGUGUUUCUAUAGGUUGUGUUUCUAUAGGUUGUGUUCAGUGUUUCUAUAGGUUGUGUUCAGUGUUUCUAUAGGUUGUGUUUCUAUAGGUUGUGUUUCUAUAGGUUGUGUUCAGUGUUUCUAUAGGUGGUGUUCAGUGUUUCUAUAGGU